CUUGGGAGCAGAUCAUAGCUGCUAGGUUAAGAAAUUGAUUCUCCCGCAGAAACAAUGGAUUUCGGUGUAGCGGAACUGUUACGUGGAGAUGCUAAGAUGCAAAGGUACAUUUCAAAACACGCCGGACAAUAUUGGCUGGAAAAUGACUUGGUUAAAACCUGAUGAUCUUACCAGGUAUGUGUUCGACUAGUACUUCGAAUGUCUAUAUGUUUAGUCCACGUGUAGAUUAAAUGAGAAAAAUAUUUUUGUUUUUUAACAGCAUUCUGCAGGUUGAUGAAUACUAAUGAAGCUGUGGAUGUCACUGAGCAGCUUCAUUUUAAAGUAAGUUACCCUGACUUACAUCUGCUGCAGUAAUUCUGUCUGGUUUGUGGUAAAUGUCCGUGUAAUGUAGCAUAAUGGAUUUUGGUCUGAUCAAUGAUGAACCCUAUCCCGAAGCUGAUAACCUGAAGAAAAGCAUGUACGGAUUCGGCUUCUGAGACAAGACUAAUGUUCAGAUAUGAGAACAAGUUUUAUAACAGAUUUCUGUUAGGUUAUGUCUCAUAGAGGAAAAACUUAAUUCACAGAGUGGGGUUUUCUGUGCCAACAGUGAGGGGUUGCUGUCUGCCUGCUGUCUGCCUGGUGUGCUGUGACAUUUUGAAGGUGGAAACAUUUCUGUGAGUAGAGAUGUUUUGCUUCAAAAUCAGUAAACAUUGUGUCCUUGGUCUUACCUAUGAUGAUCCUAUCCCGAACCUGAAUUUCUGUUGAAAAAACUUAUACGGAUCUGGCUUCU
rnacentral:lncRNA from 1 species